GUUUUAAACAUGUUUGGCCCCCAAAAAGAAGAAGAUUUAAACAUGCAUGUAUAUAAUUUGUUUAACCUUGAAUUCAUUUUUCAUAAAAAUUAAAUCAUCUCUGAAACCUAAAAAAAAAAAAAACAUGUAUACACACUAGAUUUUAACCCGUGGAAUAACGCGGGAACAAUUUAUUUUUUAAAAUUAGUAUAUAUAAAAGUUUAUAAAUUGUAUCUAUUUAUAAAAUAUUUUUAUUUUAUAGUUUACAAUUGUUAUUAAGUAACGUCUUGCUAAACCCGUCCCGUAAAAAAACUCAUUUAUUUUAUUAAUGUUGAUCUUAUUUAUGAUAUGUUAAUGAAUCAUUACCUAAAUAUUUUGUAACUUUGUAGUAAUAAAAUGGGGUAAACGACCUGUGUCCCUUUCGGAAGUUUCAUAUACCAUUAGAACUACACAGAAUUUCAACCUCGAUCUUGGUCCACACAAAUAGAAAGUUCUAGUCCUAUUUCUCCCUAAUUUGAAAGUUCGAAACCUCAAAACACAUAAACGCUUGAUUAAUUGGUUUAUAACAUAAACCGAUAUUAAACCACUUAAACCAAUCCUAAACCAAAUUAAAAACCUGACCCAUCUCCUUCUACCCCAUUUGACCCGUCUCCUUCUCCGCCAUCACCUCCCGAUCACAAAACCAACAUAUACAUCUCCAUUCCUGGAGUUUCGAAGCUUAAAGGAAGAGAAGCGAGGAAAGGCGAUGUAUUUGCGGCGGCUCGACAAUGGAAUCAAAGGACGAGAAGUAUCGAUAAUGGAAUUGAAAUUCUCCGUAUCGUUGUCCAUAGAAGAAACUGAAGAAUUUUCCUCCAUUGUUUUUGGAAAAACAUCAUUUGUGAACACAUUAUUUGAAAGAGCAUUGCGGAUAUAUGAAUUUGGAAUUAAGUCAAUCUCAAAUUUUAGUCUUUGACUGAAACUCUAUUUUGCUCUUCUUUUUAAAUAAAUUUUUCUGGAAAUAAAGCAAGUCCUGAGGGGAAACCAUGACAUCGUUCGUAGAGGAGACAAACCCAACGAUUUGGAAUCUCAUUAUUGUCUCAUUUUGGUGAAUCGUUAUCAUUUUGUAGCUUAUGACACGGUUUUUGUGCCAUUAACAUUUCAAUAGUUGCAGAGAUCAAAAAGCAAUGUAAAACAGAGACAAAAAUUGCAGAGCUUGAGUAAAUCGAGUUAUACAACAAAACAACAAAGCCGACUUAAUCAUAAUCUUAAAAAGCAAAACCAAAAAUAAAUCCAUUGUAUCUUCUAAUCUUAUUUAUCCUUGACUGAAAGUGUCUUGAGAAAGUUUGUUCGGAGAAAUAAUGCAUUGAGAAGGCUCUAAUAACUAUCUGAUUUAUCGUGUGGUUGUGGCUGAGAUGAUUUGCAACGUGGCUGAUAUGAUCCGUCUUCAUCAUCAUGAAUUUCUCCCUCAACAAUCAAUUGAUUAAAUUUCUGGGUUCUCUCAAAUUCUAGUGUUCUUUGAUUCUGAGAUUUGGGGAUUUUCGAUCUUAAAUCGGGUCUACUCAGGUUAAAUCCGGUUCCGUUUAGUCCUAAUGUGGUUAAUGAUGUCUGGGUAACAAUAAACCGAUUAUAAACCAUGUUUAUGUGUGCUUUAGGUUUGAAUUUUGAUUUUAUGUGUUUUGAGGUUUUGAACUUUCAAAUUAGGGAGAAAUAGGAUUAGAACUUUUCAUUUGUGUGGACCAAGAUCGAGGUUGGAAUUCGGUGUAGGUCUAGUGUUAUAUGAAACUUUCGAGGGGCACACAGGUCGUUCACCCAAUAAAAUGCUAUCAAAUAUCUAUGUUGUUUGAUGAUUAUAAUCGAAUUAUUAUAGUCAUGCAGAAAAAUAAUAUCAAAAAUGAUAAUUUUGUAAUAAUUAAAUAAUAUUAAAUAUUUUGGAAGUUUUAUUUUAGUAACUAAUCGUGUAGUUACUGUGUAGAGAUUUUGGGAAAAUUAAAAUCCACUGACAGCCAUUGUAAAUAAGUCUUAACUACAUGAUUUAUUUCACAAAAUGACUGCAAAAAUGUAUAUGUAGAUGUCUAAAAUCUCAGUUAUAUGAAGCCUCCUAGAACCCUAAAAAAAUCAAAAAUCAUAACGUUUUGGAAUUAAAACCCUAGAAAGAAAAACAAAACCCUAGAAGAAUGGAGCUCUAUGUGGACUCCCUUUUCUCCUAUGUCGUUUCUUCAUCACCGGUUCAUCAAUCUCUUCUGAAAUCUCUGUAACCUCUGAUGAAUUUUCCAUCAGCUCAUCAAGUUGUGACCCAAGAACGCUCCUAAACUGUAAAAUUCACAAUAAACAAUGUUAACUUUACAUAUAACAAACAAAAGUGUAAGA
rnacentral:sRNA from 1 species